rnacentral:lncRNA from 1 species
GUCGACCCUGCGGGGCCGCCACUGGAUGUUGAUGUUGCUACGAAGAUGAUGACUAUCGCGGAGGGGCUCACUAGUCUGGAGAUCCAGGCUGAACUUGAUGGCUUCUUUGCCGAGUCUACUUAGCCCACUUCGUUAGCGAUCAGGAUUCCGUGUUUUUCAGACAAUGCAUUCGAAUAAUUUCGAUUUGGUUGUAAGCUUUAUGAGAGCACAAAACUUAUUCUUUAUUUCAUGACGCUUGGAUGACAUUUAUAUCAUUCAUUUAUUUCAU